rnacentral:rRNA from 1 species
UAAGGAAUAUUGGUCAAUGAACGCAAGUCUGAACCAGCCAUGCCGCGUGGAGGAUGAAGGUCCUCUGGAUUGUAAACUUCUUUUAUCUGGGACGAAACACUUCUUUUCUAAGAGGCCUGACGGUACCCGAUGAAUAAGCACCGGCUAACUCCGUGCCAGCAGCCGCGGUAAUACGGAGGGUGCAAGCGUUAUCCGGAUUCACUGGGUUUAAAGGGUGCGUAGGUGGGUAUGUAAGUCAGUGGUGAAAUCCCCGAGCUUAACUUGGGAACUGCCAUUGAUACUAUAUAUCUUGAAUACCGUAGAGGUAAGCGGAAUAUGUCAUGUAGCGGUGAAAUGCUUAGAUAUGACAUGGAACACCAAUUGCGAAGGCAGCUUACUAUGCGGUGAUUGACACUGAGGCACGAAAGCGUGGGUAGCAAACA